GUGCUUUCUUCGGCAGCACAUACACUAAAAUUGGAAUGAUGCAGAGAAGAUUGGCAUGGCCCCUGUGCAAGGAUGACAUGCAAAUUUGUGAAGUGUUCCAUAUUUUU